rnacentral:rRNA from 1 species
AUUGAACGCUGGCGGCAGGCCUAACACAUGCAAGUCGAGCGGAGCGGCGGACGGGUGGGUAAUGCCUAGGAGUCUACCUGGUAGUGGGGGAUAACGUCCGGAAACGGACGCUAAUACAGCAUACUUUCAAAUGAGCCUAGGUCGGAUUAGCUAGUUGUGGGGGUAAAGGCCUACCAAGGCGACGAUCCGUAACUGGUCUGAGAGGAUGAUAAGGCACACUGGAACUGAGACACGGUCCAGACUCCUACGGGAGGCAGCAGUGGGGAAUAUUGGACAAUGGGCGAAAGCCUGAUGCAGCCAUGCCGCGUGUGUGAAGAAGGUCUUCGGAUUGUAAAGCACUUUCAGCGGGGAGGCGUUACCCGCAGAAGAAGCACCGGCUAACUCCGUGCCAGCAGCCGCGGUAAUAC